AAUGAACGCUGGCGGCAUGCCUAACACAUGCAAGUCGAACGACAGCACAGUAAGCGCUUUCUCCUGCGGGUGGCGAGUGGCGGACGGGUGAGGCAUACAUCGCAUACCUCUUUGACUGGGGUGAUAACGGGGGAAAACUUACGCUAAUACCGCAUACGUCCUACGGGUGAAAGCAGGAGUUCUACGGACUUUUCGUGACUGUAAGAGCCGAUGUCGGAUUAGCUAGUUGGCUGGGUAAAGGCCCACCAAGGCGACGAUGCGUAGCUGAUCUGAGAGGAUGAUCAGCCACACUGGAACUGAGACACGGUCCAGACUCCUACGGGAGGCAGCAGUGGGGAAUCUUGCGCAAUGGGCGAAAGCCUGAUCCAGCAAUACCGCGUGAGUGAAGAAGGCCUUCGGAUUGUAAAGCCCUGUUGUUAGGAAAGAAAAGAAGCAGGUUAAUCCGUCGCUGUCCUGACGGUACCCAAAGAAUAAGCACCGGCUAACUUCGUG
rnacentral:rRNA from 1 species